rnacentral:sRNA from 1 species
GAAUAGGUGAACUCAAGGAUUGGUCGGCUCACUCCCACGAAAGGGGGUGAUGCCUGUGUCAGUAUUCGAAGCAUUAAUGCUUGCAGUAGCAUUCGGAGCAUUGAUUGUAGCGAUAUUGUCUAAUAACCAUAAAAAAUAACCCAUCCUUGAGUUAGCAGGCUCAGAUGGGUUACUCUUCCCUAUUACGCCGACCCCUGAAAGGG